GCGUUGCUUUUACACAACGCUGCUUCCCCAAAAAGCCUGGCAUCCCCCACCAGCCGCACUUCCGGUUCCGGCUUCUGCUGGUGUCGUCCACCCGAUUUGCCCUACGGAUCAACCCGGGCUUAGCACAGCAGUAUGACGUCCUCCAUCACCGCCCGCACCAUGGACGCUGCUGGAUGCCCGGAAAAUGGAGAACGGCCUGUAGCACAUAGCGAUUGCUCCCUCAGCGCUUCAGAGGCCGGCCCUGCACCUCCAUCUUCCCGCCAGACAGCCGCGGCAGGGAGACUCCGCUAACGCAUUUCCCUGUGAGACUUGGAAAAGAAGGAAGGAAGCUCUGGUAAUGGAAACGGAAAAGAAUUUCCCAAGACUUCUUAGCAUUCCUCUGCAUAAUGUGUACUAACAUAGAAUUAUAUGGAAGCAAAGGGAAACUAAGAGAUAAGUGCACACAAUGAAAUGAAACAGAAAUCAUUAUAUGCAUGGGCAAUAAUCUAUAGACACCGCUAGAAACCAGAAUCCAAAUAUGUAUAAGUAACACAAGUAAAAGGAAUUAAAACA